AGGAUGAACGCUGGCGGCGUGCCUAAUACAUGCAAGUCGAGCGAACAGAUAAGGAGCUUGCUCCUUUGACGUUAGCGGCGGACGGGUGAGUAACACGUGGGUAACCUACCUAUAAGACUGGAAUAACUCCGGGAAACCGGGGCUAAUGCCGGAUAAUAUUUAGAACCGCAUGGUUCUAAAGUGAAAGAUGGUUUUACUAUCACUUAUAGAUGGACCCGCGCCGUAUUAGCUAGUUGGUGGGGUAAUGGCUUACCAAGGCAACGAUACGUAGCCGACCUGAGAGGGUGAUCGGCCACACUGGAACUGAGACACGGUCCAGACUCCUACGGGAGGCAGCAGUAGGGAAUCUUCCGCGAUGGGCGAAAGCCUGACGGAGCAACGCCGCGUGAGUGACGAAGGUCUUCGGAUCGUAAAACUCUGUUAUUAGGGAAGAACAAAUGUGUAAGUAACUGUGCACGUCUUGACGGUACCUAAUCAGAAAGCCACGGCUAACUACGUGCCAGCAGCCGCGGUAA
rnacentral:rRNA from 1 species